AACGCGAAGAACCUUACCUACUCUUGACAUCCAGAGAAUUCGCUAGAGAUAGCUUAGUGCCUUCGGGAACUCUGAGACAGGUGCUGCAUGGUUGUCGUCAGCUCGUGUCGUGAGAUGUUGGGUUAAGUCCCGCAACGAGCGCAACCCUUGUCUUAUGUUGCCAGCACGUUAUGGUGGGGACUCGUGAGAGACUGCCGGGGUUAACUCGGAGGAAGGUGGGGAUGACGUCAAAUCAUCAUGCCCCUUAUGUCCAGGGCUUCACACAUGCUACAAUGGUCGGUACAACGCGCAUGCGAGCCUGUGAGGGUGAGCGAAUCGCUGUAAAGCCGGUCGUAGUUCGGAUUGGGGUCUGCAACUCGACCCCAUGAAGUCGGAGUCGCUAGUAAUCGCAGAUCAGCAACGCUGCGGUGAAUACGUUCCCGGGCCUUGUACACACCA
rnacentral:rRNA from 1 species